rnacentral:lncRNA from 1 species
GUUUAUCGCUGCCCCGCCCUGCAAACAGCCCGGGGCUGAGAGAGAGGCGGGAAUCUGCCCCUGGAGGGAGAAAAAUGCGGAAUCCAGCGCUGCAGGUGAUUCACCCGCGGGGAAUCGGAGCUGCCCUGCCCUGCCCUGCCGCUCCUGCUGCUUUUGUCCGCACGGAAAUCCCGCGGCAGCGGUGCCCAGGGACCCCCGGGCAGCCAAACAUCACCAGGAUUAAUUGGAGAUGCUUUAAAUACCCUGGCCGUGCUCCCUUUCCGCUGUUGGCAGUCCCGCUGACGCAAUACUGCUGUUGUUAAUAAUGAUAAUUAUAUUAAUAAUGAUGCUCCCAGCGCGUUUCCCCUCUGAAGGGUUCACGGAGAGGAUUUUGGCUGAGCUCAGGAAAUCCCCUUUAUCUGCUCUAACCGCAGCAGGGCCGGGGCUCUCAGACCUGCUGGCAAUUCCUCAAACGCGUUUUGGUAAAUCGAGUCACGGGCUCGGGGAGACGCAGCCCCCAGGCAGCACCGGCGGCGGUUGUGACAGUUUUUGUUGUCACCGACAUCGGGUGGAGGUGUGGGGUCACCUGUGGGGUCACCUAUGGGGUCACCUAUGGGGUCGGUUUGGGGUCAGUGUCACCAGGAAUUGCAGGUUUGGGGUCAGUGUCAUCAGGGGCUGCAGGUUUGGGGUCAGUGUCACCAGGAAUUGCAGGUUUGGGGUCAGUGUCAUCAGGGGCUGCAGGUUUGGGGUCAGUGUCACCAGGAAUUGCAGGUUUGGGGUCAGUGUCAUCAGGGGCUGCAGGUUUGGGGUCAGUGUCACCAGGAGCUGCAGGUUUGGGGUCACUGUCACCAGGAGCUGCAGGUGUGGGGUCAGUGUCACCAUGGGAUGCAGGUGUGGGGUCAGUGUCACCACUGCCUGAAGGUUUGGGGUCAGUGUCACCAGGGGCUGCAGAGGCAGGGGCUGAUGAGCCCUGUGAUGUCUUUGGGGAACCCUGCAGUGUCUUUGGUGAACCCUGCAGUGUCUUUGGUGAACCCUGCAGUGUCUUUGGUGAACCCUGCAGUGUCUUUGGUGAACCCUGCAGUGUCUUUGGUGAACCCUGCAGUGUCUUUGGUGAACCCUGCAGUGUCUUUGGUGAACCCUGCAGUGUCUUUGGUGAACCCUGCAGUGUCUUUGGUGAACCCUGCAGUGUCUUUGGUGAACCCUGCAGUGUCUUUGGUGAACCCUGCAGUGUCUUUGGUGAACCCUGCAGUGUCUUUGGUGAACCCUGCAGUGUCUUUGGUGAACCCUGCAGUGUCUUUGGUGAACCCUGCAGUGUCUUUGGUGAACCCUGCAGUGUCUUUUGUGAACCCUGCAGUGUCUUUGAUAAACCCUGCAGUGUUUUUGGUGAACCCUGCAGUGUUUUUGAGGCUGGCAGGGGAAGUGACUCAUUUCUGAAUGCAGAAUAAACAGCAAGCAGUCAUGGGAUCCCAUUUAAGGGCUGGAGAGACCCCAAAUCCCAUUGAAUCCCACCCCAGCCACGGCAGGGACACCUCCCCCUGCCCCAGGCUGCUCCAGCCCCAGUGUCCAGCCUGGAUCUGAACAUUGCAGGGACCCAGGGGCAGCCACAGCUGCUCCACAGGGAACAAUUCCUGCCCGAAAUCCCAUCCAGCCCCAUCCUCCAUCGUUAUUUCCUUUACUUGAAGCUCUGCUGCUUGGCUCUCAGAGCACCCUGGGGUGCUGUAGGAGGGAGUGCCAGAGGUCUGAGGGCGCAGAUGGUGUCAGAUACCUCACCACGUGCCAGACCAGCACGGGAGAGCAGCCAGGCACCCGUGGGACGUUCCUCGUGAACGGGGGAAGGUUCCUCGGGGACCCUCAAAGAGAUGGGAGGGGAGUGGUUUGGGGGUCCCCCACAGGUCUGCAAAGCUGAACAAGCCACUUGUGUGUUGUGAGACCACUGCUGGAGAGCUGAGGCUAAGAAGUUAAUGACAGACCGGAUUAAAGUAAAUUGAAAUAAAUUAAAUUAAUGACAGGCCUGAUCAAAGCUUAGGUUGGCAGGGAUGUUUAAUUUUUGGAGGACUCAGCUCCCUUUUUAUCCCAAUUUCCUUCUCUCUCUCCCCACUGGCUGAGGUGCUGGAGAGGCACAGACUGCCCAAAACCCUGAUAAACUGAGAUUCCCCUCUCAUGUACAACCCUCCC